rnacentral:piRNA from 1 species
UGUAAUAUUUGUAGAAAAAAG